AAAUUCGUCUGAAACAUGAAUAUAUAAUAAAAUGCAUUGAGACUUUCUCCGAACCACAAAACAGAAAGAAACACCGUGUUCACCGAGGAGACGCAUUCUGGAGUAACGUGUGCAAAGACCUGGGAGUGCCAAAUCAUUGUACAAAUCGUAAAACACUUAAUCAUGUUGCUCUGCACUACCAAAAGAGAACCAUGGAAGUCAGACACAAACCCAAAAAUAUCCAUGUUGAAGGUGAUAGUGGGACCUCUGGAGAGAACACAUCUUCUUUGGAUGAAGGAAACACUGGAGAUGUGUCCAUCUGCAAUGGAAGGAAAUGAAUCUCUAUUUGCUCAAACAGGAUGUUGUGGAGGACAGUGAUGACAAUGGCAUUGUCCUAAACAUUUCUCCUGAAUUGAAACAAACUGGUGUCUCCAUCACGUCUACAUCCCUCGAAAAGGACUGGAGUAGAAAUUCAUCAAACAGAAGUGACAGUAGUAAUGCUGAAGAGGAAUUCUACAAAUGCUCUUUGCCACAGCAGCCAUGUUUUUUUUUCAUUGACCAGAAAGACUGGCAAGACCUAAAAAACACACAGAAAGGGAGGCUUUUCAAAGGUAUGCAGUGGACUAAUGUUGUAGCCACUGGCAUUAAGUCAGUACACCCAUUUUGCAGUUUUGGAUUUAAGAGGCAGACCAUCAAGACCAGUCAGUCACAGUCUAAGACGGCUGUAUUCUCAUGUACGGCAUACUGCCGUUUUAAGGACUGUCCAGUGAAAGUGGAGGUUAAAGAUGAAAAAACCCUGAAGGCUGAUGUGCUUUUCCAAGGAGGUGAGGAGUGCCACAACACAAAGGAAAUAAAAACAAGACCUGUGCGUGGACAGUCCAGAGAUGUAAUAGCAGAAAAACUGGAAACCAAAAUGCCAAGAAGUCUUUAUCUGGAUUCUCUAAAUCAAAUACCAGAAAAAGCUUUCCAAGCAGGGUGUCGGGAUGAGGCUCCAUCUAAAGAUGUCUUGAAAAAUAUUGCCUUGUUCCACAGAAAAAACAGAGACCUCAUUUAAAUGAGACGGCCAGUCUGCAAAUGUUAAUAGACAGACAGCAAGGACUUCCAAACGAAGUCCUUCAGAGAGUGCUCCUGCAUCCAAAAGGUAUAAUGCUGUGGUCCAAAGAAACACUUUCAGUGUUUUACCAGCGGUGCAAAGACGACAUAGAAUAUUUUGAUGCAACAGGAAGCAUCUAAAGAUGAUGCUUCUGCUACUCCGUACUAUGUGUAUGAAGUUAUAGUUAGAAAUCCCUUCAAGGGAUCAUCACCUCUACCAACAGCAACUUCUGUAACAUGUGACCAUACCACUGCUUCUGUUACAUAUUUUCUACAAGCAUUUCAAACAGAGCUUACACAAAUGUAUGGAAGCAGGGCAAACAAAAGGCCAGUAAUGAUCAUAUGUGAUGGCUCACUGGUGCUUCAGUCCAUUGCUGUAACAUUCUGCAGAGCAAGUUUGGAAGACCUUUUGGAGCGAUACUUCCAGGUUAUCACAGGACAGUUAGACACGGAUAACUUCAACAUACCCAUUCUCCACCGGUGUUUGAGUCACAUCAUGAAGAACGCAAAGGAUCUUUGCAGAAAGAGACUACAGAAACACUACAAACUUGCCACGUCUUGGAUUACUGGCCUGUUCUUCCAACUUGAAAGACAUGGAUGGCAUCAUUAUAAGUGCAACAGUUGUUUUCAAAAGUCCAUGCAGUGGACCAGAAGUGAACAAACACCUGCAGAACCUCAAACUGCUGAUCGAUCAGACGGGGAAUGGGGAUGCUGAAGAAACAGACAUCCUUCCAGAGGAUUAUAAGACGGCAAUAGUUCACUCAUCACUUAAACAGCACUUUGCAGAAGUAAUUGCCAGUGCCCACCUUGAUGUGACUGGACCACCGAAUGUGUACUAUGCACCAGCAUUCAUUUCAAGUAUUUCAAAGUACUUUCUACCACAUGCUACCUUGUGGUCAGGAAUGCUGCUUGGAGACCUUGGACGGCAUGGGAAAGGCUCAGCGUAUGGCUUUCUCAGUAAACGGUACAAUCAUGUGUCGCAGUUGAAGAAGCAGAACUACACUGAAGACAAUCGAACACAAGGG